CGGCUGUCACCCGAGUGGGGGGAGUGUGGUGGAACUGUGCAUCUGGUGCCUAGGGCCCAGCUUUCCAAUGCCGAUCCCGCGCCGACUUCAAGGUGGCGGUCGCCACUGUUCGCCUGGCGGAGGCCGGGCGGACUUGGGCGAUGAUGCGAGAUGAAACGCCACAGGCUGGAAACAGAGCAAGGAGAAGUCUCCGCCGUCAUCAGUGAAGCGAUCACGUGGGUGAAU
rnacentral:SRP_RNA from 13 species